rnacentral:rRNA from 1 species
AUUGAACGCCGGCGGCAUGCCUAACACAUGCAAGUCGAACGAGUGGCGGACGGGUGAGUAAUGUCCGGGAAACUGCCCGAUGGAGGGGGAUUACUCCUGGAAACGGUAGCUAAUACCGCAUACCAUCAGAUGUGCCCAGAUGGGCUUAGCUAGUUGGGUGGGCGACGGCGCACCAAGGCGACGAUCCCUCGCUGGUCUGAGAGGCUGACCGGCCACACUGUGACUGAGACACGGUCAAGACUCCUACGGGAGGCAGCGAUGGGGAAUAUUGCGCAAUUGGCGCAAGCCUGGUACAGCCAUGCCGCGUGUAUGUAGAAGGCCUUCGAGUUGUAAAGUACUUUCAGCGGGGAGGCGUUACCCGCAGAGGAAGCACCGGCUAACUCCGUGCCAGCCGCCGCGGUAAUAC